CCCGAGGCCCCCGGUGCCCCAUCCCCCGCCACCCCAGCGCCAGCCCCACUCACCCUUUCAUUCUCCGCCCGCGGCCUGGCGUGGGCCGGCGAAUCCCCGGCCUCACGCUGACAGAUCAGAGAGGCGCUGGCAGUGGACUUAGGAAGCUCGACUGAUACUGCUCCCUCCCUGGGCUUCAGCAAGAGUCUUUCCCUGUCUAACAAGAGGGGUGAGGAUCAUAUUUUUAUUUUGGAAACUAAAAAGUGCUCCCAGGGUCGGUGAUCAUUAAGGGGAAAUCCCUGAAUAUACUCUCCAGCCAAGAAGGCAGGGCUGCCCGCCUGCACUAGAAGAGGCAGCUGCCUCCUACAGCACCACUACAGGCACCGCGAGGACAUAACACCACAGAGCAGUUCUCUGCCCUCCGAAACGACAACUUUCCUACCAUCUUGGAGGCAGAGGAGAGAGGGGCCAAGGGGAGAAGUGCACCGGCUCCGGAUAAAGUACAAAUUUCUACCUCUCAUCUCUGGAAAAAGUCCAUACCUGAGGAAAAGCAAUGAAGAAAUAGAAGCGAGGUCAUGUGCUCCGUGGUGGGGAAUGUUUCUGCACCUUCUGAUGGAAAGAAAUCUUUACAAGACACAGGUUUUACGAUAUUAUUGUUUUCCAUGUUAACUUUUUCCAUGAGGUUGACAGUCGCAACCUUAAUUUUUUUUUUCAGGCUAGUAAUGAUUUUUCUCUAUGACGGGUCCAAGUUCUGUAUCUGGUGGCCAGUCUGUAAAUUGGCACUUCAGAGACUUAGAGGUCACUGUAUUGUCUUUUAGUGCUCGUUUAUGUUGUAUGUAUUCGUACUUAUGUUCUAAUGUGUUAGAGUUAAGAUUUUGUGGUUUUGGUAUCUGAGGAACUGAGGCUGCUGCGAAUCAAUUGUAAAGAGAUGGCCUUUGUCCUUUCCCAAAGCAAUGUAAGUAAAACCUAUUGACUGCCCAGAAAGGCAAAAAAUACAGCUGUUUAUUUUUCACGGUGCAAAUAGAAGUAUUGUGUAUUUAAACUCUCAGUAGAGCACAGCAAGCCUGUUUAUCUAUCAGCCCAAGAAGAAAGAUGACUCCUGUAAACCUAGCAACAGAUUGAAAGAUGCCUUGGAUUUUCAAGUAAAAUUAUUUACUAAGAAUUAUAUCUAGAA